rnacentral:sRNA from 1 species
AAAUUCUUAAACGACGUAAGCCCUACCUCUCUUACAUCCUUACGGCUCCGAAGCCGUGCCAGUGUGAAUAAGUUUUGUUCAAAUAUA